AAGGUGUAUUGAGAAGUAUGCUGGAGGUAUCAGAAGUGCGAAUGCUGACGUGAGUAACGACAAAACGGGUGAAAAACCCGUUCGCCGAAAGACCAAGGGUUCCAGUCCAACGUUAAUCGGGGCUGGGUGAGUCGACCCCUAAGGCGAGGCCGAAAGGCGUAGUCGAUGGGAAAAUGGUUAAUAUUCCAUUACUUCUGUGUAAUGCGAUGAGAGGACGGAGAAGGCUAAAUCAGCCUGGCGUUGGUUGUCCAGGUGAAAGGAUGUAGGCAUGUAUCUUAGGCAAAUCCGGGGUACUCUAUGCUGAGAUCUGAUAGCAAGCUGUACUUGUACAGCGAAGUGGUUGAUGCCAUGCUUCCAGGAAAAGUCUCUAAGCUUCAGUUACACAGGAAUCGUACCCGAAACCGACACAGGUGGUCAGGUCGAGUAGACCAAGGCGCUUGAGAGAACUCUGCUGAAGGAACUAGGCAAAAUGGUACCGUAACUUCGGGAGAAGGUACGCUGUUGUUGGUGAUGGAACUCGCUUCCUGAGCUGACGACAGCCGCAGAAACCAGGCCGCUGCAACUGUUUAUUAAAAACAUAGCACUCUGCAAACACGAAAGUGGACGUAUAGGGUGUGAUGCCUGCCCGGUGCUGGAAGGUUAAUUGAUGGGGUUAGCGUAAGCGAAGCUCUUGAUCGAAGCCCCAGUAAACGGCGGCCGUAACUAUAACGGUCCUAAGGUAGCGAAAUUCCUUGUCGGGUAAGUUCCGACCUGCACGAAUGGCAUAAUGAUGGCGGCGCUGUCUCCAGCAGAGGCUCAGUGAAAUCGAAAUCGCUGUGAAGAUGCAGUGUACCCGCGGCUAGACGGAAAGACCCCGUGAACCUUUACUGCAGCUUGACACUGAACUUUGACCUUACUUGUGUAGGAUAGGUGGGAGGCUUUGAAGCUGGAACGCUAGUUCCAGUGGAGCCGUCCUUGAAAUACCACCCUGGUAAUGUUGAGGUUCUAACUCUGUCCCGUGAUCCGGGACGAGGACCGUGUCUGGUGGGUAGUUUGACUGGGGCGGUCUCCUCCUAAAGAGUAACGGAGGAGUACGAAGGUGCGCUCAGCGUGGUCGGAAAUCACGCGUAGAGUAUAAAGGCAAAAGCGCGCUUAACUGCGAGACCCACAAGUCGAGCAGGUACGAAAGUAGGUCUUAGUGAUCCGGUGGUUCUGUAUGGAAGGGCCAUCGCUCAACGGAUAAAAGGUACUCUGGGGAUAACAGGCUGAUACCGCCCAAGAGUUCAUAUCGACGGCGGUGUUUGGCACCUCGAUGUCGGCUCAUCUCAUCCUGGGGCUGAAGCAGGUCCCAAGGGUAUGGCUGUUCGCCAUUUAAAGAGGUACGCGAGCUGGGUUUAGAACGUCGUGAGACAGUUCGGUCCCUAUCUACCGUGGGCGCUGGAAAUUUGAGAGGAUCUGCUCCUAGUACGAGAGGACCAGAGUGGACGAACCUCUGGUGUACCGGUUGUGACGCCAGUCGCAUCGCCGGGUAGCUAUGUUCGGAAGGGAUAACCGCUGAAAGCAUCUAAGCGGGAAGCCUACCUCAAGAUAAGAUUUCCCUAGGACUUUAUGUCCUCUAAAGAGCCGUUCGAGACUAGGACGUUGAUAGGUUGGAUGUGGAAGCAUAGUGAUAUGUGAAGCUGACCAAUACUAAUUGCUCGUGAGGCUUGACUAU
rnacentral:rRNA from 1 species